GUUAUAAGGCAGUGGCUACAUUCACCGUACAGUAAUAUUAGCAGCUCCUGUACAGUUCGCGUGGCUUUAUAAUUUUGCAUAGGAUAAUUGUCUCUCUAAGGCGAAGGACCUAAGUAAAGUCUAUUACAUCUAAAAGGGAUAAUCAGUAGAGUAUACUGUUACUAAAUCUUAUUUACCAUAAGAAUAUACAAGAAGUCAUAGGAUAUGUUACUCUCAGCCAUUUUUUUUUUUUACAGGAUAUAGAUCACUUACAAGAUAACAAAUUCCAAAAUUCUUAGAAGUUUUAUAUGAACUUAAAGGGCCAGCUCCUUCAACACUACCCAUGAAGUCUUUACAGCAAUACCUUGGUAAACAGACACCAACUACCCUUACUGAUGUCAGCUGAUUCAGAUGUUGCUGCGUGAAGUGCUUUGUAGGUCAGAACACGAGAUUCCAGGGUUCCUGAAGAAGUGCUGUGCAGUGGUGCUCGGCUCAUGAGAUGGUAGGAAAAGUACAGCACACAAUGGACACUCAGUCACAGGGCCUGAAGACAAGACUGGGUCAACAUUUUUCUCCACAGUUGUCAACGUGAAAGAGUUCAUUGCAGAAGCCUCCUAUUGGAAGAACAAAGUAUCCAGUUCUGAAAUGCUAAGUAAUCUGAAAACUGGACAUCCAGAGCAUGUGGAUUCAAGUUCCCUUGAGCAGGAAAAAUGUUAAAACUCCGUCUCUCCAGCCUGAGACACUAAGCAAGCAAUUCAUCAAGAGAACAACAAAGGCAGGAACCGAAAGAUAAAACAUCCAGGUCAGUAACUCAU
rnacentral:lncRNA from 1 species